rnacentral:lncRNA from 1 species
CUUGGUAUGGCAUAUAUCUGAAACUAGAUCGAUUGUAUUAAUAACCCGAAUUUGUAUUUCCGUCAAAUCUUGCAUCUCCUUUUUCAUAGCUCGAUUGAAACCCUAGGUCUACAAAUCGCGAUAUUCUCUCCACAUGUUCUUUCUUAAACUUCAUUCUCAAAUAUGCAUUUUGAUUUUCUCUUAUCAUUUCAGCGACUUAGAAAUCUGAAACCCUAAAUUCAAAAUUUAAUCUAGUUUGUUUAUUCCUUAAAAGGGGA